ACGUACACUCCUGCGGGAGGCAACAGUGGGGAAUAUUGGACAAUGGGCGCAAGCCUGAUCCAGCCAUGCCGCGUGAGUGAUGAAGGCCCUAGGGUUGUAAAGCUCUUUCACCGGUGAAGAUAAUGACGGUAACCGGAGAAGAAGCCCCGGCUAACUUCGUGCCAGCAGCCGCGGUAAUACGAAGGGGGCUAGCGUUGUUCGGAUUUACUGGGCGUAAAGCGCACGUAGGCGGACUAUUAAGUCAGGGGUGAAAUCCCGGGGCUCAACCCCGGAACUGCCUUUGAUACUGGUAGUCUUGAGUUCGAGAGAGGGGAGUGGAAUUCCGAGUGUAGAGGUGAAAUUCGUAGAUAUUCGGAGGAACACCAGUGGCGAAGGCGGCUCACUGGCUCGAUACUGACGCUGAGGUGCGAAAGCGUGGGGAGCAAACAGGAUUAGAAACCCCUGUAGUCCC
rnacentral:rRNA from 1 species